ensembl:lncRNA
UUCUAUAGAGAGAAGGAAAGAAAGAAGAAAGGAAAAUGAAAAAAUUACUAUGUACUUUGUUCGACAUCACUUGCAGAAACUCAACAGAAAGAGAAACAGUCCCAGGUUAUGCUGCCCCUUCCCACGCCCAUCCUCACAUUUAGAUUCUUCAGAGUCCCAUCCGCAGUGACAGGGCGCACAGUGCUCCAGGUUCUUUUCCUGUGACAUGGACACGGGUGCAGAAACAUUUCUCCACUCCGAAACAGACACAGCGCAAGCAUGAUGACCUUCACAACGGCCCGCGUCCUCAGCAGGGAGCAGGACGGAGGCGAGGAGAUUGGCUGUGGGUAAGCGCAAGAAAGGGGCACAAUGAUGCAGGACUUUCCAUACCGGCCGUCGCCCCUCUGAGAGAAAGACAACGCAGGCGAGAAGGAUGCAGAAGUCCAAGAUGUACUGCACUUUUGAAGAAGGAGAUCAAGGAAGGCUUAACGGAG